GAUGAACGCUGGCGGCGUGCCUAAUACAUGCAAGUCGAGCGAACAGACGAGGAGCUUGCUCCUCUGACGUUAGCGGCGGACGGGUGAGUAACACGUGGAUAACCUACCUAUAAGACUGGGAUAACUUCGGGAAACCGGAGCUAAUACCGGAUAAUAUAUUGAACCGCAUGGUUCAAUAGUGAAAGACGGUUUUGCUGUCACUUAUAGAUGGAUCCGCGCCGCAUUAGCUAGUUGGUAAGGUAACGGCUUACCAAGGCAACGAUGCGUAGCCGACCUGAGAGGGUGAUCCGCCAGACUGGAACAGAGACACGGUCCAGACUCCUACGGGAGGCAGCAGUAGGGAAUCUUCCGCAAUGGGCGAAAGCCUGACGGAGCAACGCCGCGUGAGUGAUGAAGGUCUUCGGAUCGUAAAACUCUGUAAUUAGGGAAGAACAAAUGUGUAAGUAACUAUGAACGUCUUGACGGUACCUAAUCAGAAAGCCACGGCUAACUACGUG
rnacentral:rRNA from 1 species